rnacentral:ncRNA from 1 species
AAAUUAUUUGUGUUUUGCGGUGCCUCUGAUGAGGAUAAUAGGGAACCCGGUGCGAUUCCGGGACGAACCCGUCGCUGUGAGCGGGGACGAAAGCCGCCAUGACCACUGCAUCGUGUGGAUGUGACCGAAACGAUGCGGGAAGGGGCGGCCGGUAGAACGAUCCGCGAGUCAGAAGACCUGCCGUGAAGCGUUGUGUCCUG